rnacentral:rRNA from 1 species
UGGGGAAUAUUGGACAAUGGGCGCAAGCCUGAUCCAGCCAUGCCGCGUGAGUGAUGACGGCCUUAGGGUUGUAAAGCUCUUUCGCACGCGACGAUAAUGACGGUAGCGCGAGAAGAAGCCCCGGCUAACUUCGUGCCAGCAGCCGCGGUAAUACGAAGGGGGCUAGCGUUGUUCGGAAUCACUGGGCGUAAAGGGUGCGUAGGCGGAUUCUUAAGUCAGGGGUGAAAUCCCGAGGCUCAACCUCGGAACUGCCUUUGAUACUGGGGAUCUUGAGUCCGGAAGAGGUGAGUGGAACUGCGAGUGUAGAGGUGAAAUUCGUAGAUAUUCGCAAGAACACCGGUGGCGAAGGCGGCUCACUGGUCCGGAACUGACGCUGAGGCACGACAGCGUGGGGAGCAAA